rnacentral:rRNA from 1 species
AGCUGCAGAAGAAAGCACCGGCUAACUCCGUGCCAGCAGCCGCGGUAAUACGGGAGGGUGCGAGCGUUAAUCGGAAUUACUGGGCGUAAAGCGCAUGCAGGUGGUUUGUUAAGUCAGAUGUGAAAGCCCGGGGCUCAACCUCGGAAUUGCAUUUGAAACUGGCAAACUAGAGUACUGUAGAGGGGGGUAGGAAUUUCAGGUGUAGCGGUGAAAUGCGUAGAGAUCUGAAGGAAUACCGGUGGCGAAGGCGGCCCCCUCGGACAGAUACUGACACUCAGAUGCGAAAGCGUGGGGAGCAAACAGGAUUAGAUACCCUGGUAG